CAGCAAGAAGGUGCCAUCUUGGAAGUAAAGAGCAGUCCUCACCAGACAACCAAACCUACCAUUGCCUUGAUCUUAGACUUCGCAGCCUCCAGAACUACUUCCCACUGGGUUCCAGCCGGCACACCCAACCUCUUCAGGACCUGAAUACAGCAGAGUGACUAUUCCAGUUUGAAAGGACAUUCAAGAGCACAAAAGACCAGUGACUUCUGGGGAUAUUUCCUGAUGUUCUUGGCACUUUUACAAUUUCUGCUGUUUUUCCUUUUUUACGUAAAUCCUCCCCUAGUAACCAGCAUGGGGUAUUUCUGAAGUUCAUUUAGUGCCAUUUUUCUGUAUUGUCCAACAGAUUGUUUCUAGUACCUUCUGAUGUGUGGCAGCUGUGUUUUAACAAUUCCAAGUAUACCAUAUGAAAGUAAUCAAAGACAUUAACACACUAGUGUCCGCAGCUCUAGGGGUAUUUCCUGCAUGUGGUACUGGUAGGCCAUGUGAAGUUGUACAUAAAUUACUUUGUUUUGUUUUUUUGGUUUGGGGUAUUUUUUUGCUUGUUUUGUUUUGUUCUUAGCAUGCUGAAGUGUUCUCUAAAUAUAUGUGAACUCAUCACAUGCUUGUAUUUGUGGAUCCAUGAUUCUGUGGACAUAGCUAGCUACAAAGAGCAUCAUACAAAAAUCAGCAUUCAAGUAUAAUGUUUACAGAGCAUAGAAUAUUUCACAUAUUAAUCUGUG